rnacentral:rRNA from 1 species
UCGAUCAGUCUGGAUCGCUAGAUGGUGUAAUCCUGUGAGAUAAGCGAAAUAUGGACUAUUACGUCGCUAUUGUUCGUUGGUUUAGGUACUUCAGUAAUGAUGAAUAGAAACGGUUAGGGGCAUUUGUAUUUGGUCGCUAGAGGUGAAAUUCUUGGAUUGAGAU